GAGAGCGUUGUUGAGCUACGCUUUGCCUAUUGACAAUAAAGCUAUAAGGGAGGUUCAAUAGCCACUUAAAGAUAUCACUGACAGUCUCAAGAUUGCUGGACUCAAAGCACUUGAUUCUGUAGAAAGAAAUGUGAGGCAAGCCUCUCGGGCUCUUAAGCAGGGUAAAAGUCUACUUGUUUCGGGAUUGGCUGAAUCAAAGAAGGACCAUGGGAUUGAAUUGCUUGGCAACCUUGAAGAUGGCAUGGGUGAGCUUCAAAUCUAAACAGAAGGAGCUGCUUAAUUUUGUUGGAGGCUGAGAUCUUCCUGGGGCAUUGGGUUUCUGCAGUGUUGAAGAGGAUAUGGUGGAUGGUUUCCCGUACAAAGUGCCUGAAGAAUACCAAAAUAUGCCUCUAUUGAAAGGAAGAGCCACUGUAAAUAUGAAGGUCAAGGUUAAGGACAAUCCUAACCUUUGUGUGUGUGUGCUGCAUUGUCCUGGAUGGUUAUAAUGCUCUAGUAACUGCCGGAAAUUUUGUAGAUUUGGUGGAAAGGCAUUUUUAUGAUGGCAUGGAAAUCCAAAGAGCUGAUGGUUUUGUAGUCCAAACUGGAGAUCCUGAGGGACCUGCAGAGGAUUUUAUUGAUCCUAGUAGCG